rnacentral:rRNA from 1 species
UAGGGAAUCUUCGGCAAUGGGGGCAACCCUGACCGAGCAACGCCGCGUGAGUGAAGAAGGUUUUCGGAUCGUAAAGCUCUGUUGUAAGAGAAGAACCUGUGUGAGAGUGGAAAGUUCACACAGUGACGGUAACUUACCAGAAAGGGACGGCUAACUACGUGCCAGCAGCCGCGGUAAUACGUAGGUCCCGAGCGUUGUCCGGAUUUAUUGGGCGUAAAGCGAGCGCAGGCGGUUUAAUAAGUCUGAAGUUAAAGGCAGUGGCUUAACCAUUGUUCGGUUUGGAAACUGUUAAACUUGAGUGCAGAAGGGGAGAGUGGAAUUCCAUGUGUAGCGGUGAAAUGCGUAGAUAUAUGGAGGAACACCGGUGGCGAAAGCGGCUCUCUGGUCUGUAACUGACGCUGAGGCUCGAAAGCGUGGGGAGCAAACAGG